rnacentral:rRNA from 1 species
CUCUAUGCCACCAGGAAAAACCUCUAAACGCGAAACCGGGUGACCGUACCGCAAACCGACACAGGUAGGCGGGGAGAGAAUCCUAAGGCGCUCGUGAGAACUCUCGUUAAGGAACUCGGCAAAUUAGUCCCGUAACUUCGGAAUAAGGGACGCCCCGUGUAAUGUGAAGCCCCCGCGGGCGGAGCAUGAGGGGGCCGCAGUGAAACGGGCCAAGCGACUGUUUACCAAAAACAUAGGGCUCUGCAAAAUCGAAAGAUGAAGUAUAGGGCCUGACACCUGCCCGGUGCCGGAAGGUUAAAAGGAGGGGUUAGCGUGAUUUAUCAUGCGAAGCUCUGAAUUGAAGCCCCGGUAAACGGCGGCCGUAACUAUGACGGUCCUAAGGUAGCGAAAUUCCUUGUCGGGUAAGUUUCCGACCUGCACGAAUGGUGUAACGACUUGGUCACUGUCUCAACGAGAGACUCGGCGAAAUUGUAGUGUUUGUGAAGAUGCGGACUACCUGCAGAAGGACGGAAAGACCCCGUGAACCUUUACUGUAGCCUGACACUGUAGUUUGGUUCAGUAUGUGUAGGAUAGGUGAGAGACUUUGAAGCCGGGACGCCAGUUUCGGUGGAGUCAUCCUUGAAAUACCACCCUUAUUGUAUUGAACUACUAACUGGCACCUGUUGAUCCAGGGCUAGGACAAUGUCUGGUGGGCAGUUUGACUGGGGCGGUCGCCUCCAAAAAAGUAACGGAGGCGCCCUAAGGUUCCCUCAGCACGGACGGAAAUCGUGCGCAGAGUGUAAACGCACAAGGGAGCUUGACUGCGAGACCAACAAGUCGAGCAGGUACGAAAGUAGGGGUUAGUGAUCCGGUGGUCCUGUAUGGAAAGGCCAUCGCUCAACGGAUAAAAGGUACUCCGGGGAUAACAGGCUUAUAGUGCCCAAGAGUUCAUAUCGACAGCACUGUUUGGCACCUCGAUGUCGGCUCUUCGCAUCCUGGGGCUGGAGAAGGUCCCAAGGGUUCGGCUGUUCGCCGAUUAAAGCGGAACGCGAGCUGGGUUCAGAACGUCGUGAGACAGUUUGGUCCCUAUCCUCUGCAGGCGUUGGAAAUUUGAAGAGAUCUGUCCCUAGUACGAGAGGACCGGGAUGGACGAACCUCUGGUGUACCAGUUGUCGCGCCAGCGGCAUAGCUGGGUAGCUAUGUUCGGAAAGGAUAACCGCUGAAAGCAUCUAAGCGGGAAGCCUACUCUAAGAUUAGAUUUCCCCUGGCCCUCGGGCCACUGAAGACCCCUCGGAGACUACGAGGUUGAUAGGCUGGAGGUGUAAGCGCAGUAAUGCGUUCAGCCGACCAGUACUAAUCGGUCGUGAGGCUUGACC